rnacentral:rRNA from 1 species
UACGGAGGGUGCAAGCGUUAUCCGGAUUCACUGGGUUAAAGGGUGCGUAGGUGGCUUUGUAAGUCAGUGGUGAAAUGCCGCAGCUCAACUGCGGAACUGCCAUUGAUACUGCUUAGCUUGAAUCACGUCGAGGUGGAUGGAAUAUUCAUGUAGCGGUGAAAUGCUUAGAUAUGUAAUAGAACACCGGUUGCGAAGGCAGUUCACUAGGCGUGUAUUGACA